UUUCCACAAAGUUUGACCUCAAAUCAGGUAGGAUUACCCGCUGAACUUAAGCAUAUCAAUAAGCGGAGGAAAAGAAACCAACAGGGAUUGCCUUAGUAGCGGCGAGUGAAGCGGCAAGAGCUCAAAUUUGAAAUCUGGCACUUUCAGUGUCCGAGUUGUAAUUUGAAGAAGGUAUUCUUGGACUUGGCCCCCGUCUAUGUUCCUUGGAACAGGACGUCACAGAGGGUGAGAAUCCCGUGCGAUGGGGAGUCCUUGUCUAUGUAAGAUUCCUUCGAAGAGUCGAGUUGUUUGGGAAUGCAGCUCUAAGUGGGUGGUAAAUUCCAUCUAAAGCUAAAUAUUGGCGAGAGACCGAUAGCGAACAAGUACAGUGAUGGAAAGAUGAAAAGAACUUUGAAAAGAGAGUGAAAAAGUACGUGAAAUUGUUGAAAGGGAAGGGCAUUAGAUCAGACUUGGCAUUUGGCAAUCGUUGCUCCUCGGGGUGGCGCUCUUGCCUUUUGCUGGGCCAGCAUCGGUUCGGACGGCAGGAUAAUGACAGUUGAAUGUGGCUUCGCUUCGGUGAAGUGUUAUAGCUUCUGUUGAUGCUGCCUGUCUGGACCGAGGAAUGCGUCUUUUGACUAGGAUGCUGGCAUAAUGAUCCAAUGCCGCCCGUCUUGAAACAUGGACCAAGGAGUCUAACGUCUAUGCGAGUGUUUGGGUGUAAAACCCGUACGCGUAAUGAAAGUGAACGUAGGUGAGGGCCCUCUUAUGGGUGCAUCAUCGACCGA
rnacentral:rRNA from 1 species